rnacentral:rRNA from 1 species
UACGGGGGGAGCAAGCGUUGUUCGGAUUUACUGGGCGUAAAGGGCGCGUAGGCGGCCAGUGCAAGUCAGUUGUGAAAUCUCCGAGCUUAACUCGGAAAGGUCAACUGAUACUGCUCGGCUAGAGUGCGGAAGGGGCAACUGGAAUUCUUGGUGUAGCGGUGAAAUGCGUAGAUAUCAAGAGGAACACCUGCGGCGAAGGCGGGUUGCUGGGCCGACACUGACGCUGAGGCGCGAAAGCUAGGGGAGCAAACAGG